UCCCUGGUAGUCCAGUGGCUAAGACUCUGCACUCCCAAUGCAGGGGGCCCGGGUCCAAUCGCUGGUCAGGAAA
rnacentral:tRNA from 1 species